CGCCACCUAGCGUACCGGGCUGUGACAUGCUUAAAAACAGGUGUUCCUGUGGCAGUUGUGAACAAGUGCCUACAGAGCCCGAGAAUAUCUGCUGUAUGGAAAUACCACAGGUGACAUGAAGACUAAGUUACAGCAGCUUCCUGAGCAACCAUCAUGCAUGCUGGACCAUCCUGGCCUAGAACCUGUCUGCCUGAAUGUGUUUUCACUGCAGAAUGCACUGAACAUUUAUCGGGCAGACUACGGACCUUUACGUCUGAGGGGAAUAGAGCACCAAUAUAGAUACGUAGCCUACAGAAGCUUUGUAAGCUGGUGCUGGGGCUUUCUGGGGCGGAGAGUGAGAGCUGUGCUGCCUGCCUGCGUGGUGCUGAGGAUUCAUACAGAGUGGCAUGGCUCUUUACUGGAUCAGUUUGACACCACUGUUAUAAAGGGUAACUCCAACGUUGGUUAUCAGGCUCAAAAUUCAUUAUCAGAGCACAGUUGGGACUGCACAGGAUAUUUCCCAGAUCUAUUUAUAUGCAUGAUCGUGACCCAGAUUUAUUUGCCACUACAAUGGCAGCUCCACCACCAGAUCCCUCCUGGACAACAGGUGGGCUCACUCCCAAGUCUCCGGUUCUCCCCAUCUCGUCACCACUGACGGCGCCAGGGUCAUCUGAACCCACCGGGCUGGUACUCCUCUGGGGUGGAUGGCCUAACUAUAACUCUAAAAAAUGCACCUUUUUUCAAGUUUUUCCAGAAAUUUGACUGUUUUUAUGCACAUUCCCCGAGUGGUUGAGUUAAGGGUUAGUUUUAUGGGGUUCGGCUUACGGUUAGGAAAGAAGGGCUUGCCCUGUCCUCCAUCUACACAGGAGACAGUUGGUGCACUCGCCUUCCACCCAAAGCCUCUCCCCCUGCGAUCCCAGGAGUUAUUCCCCCUGGUUAAGUUGCAAGGUGCUUCUUCAAUACGUUCACGGAGGCGUCCACGCCUGCCCCCGGAACAUACAAGUAUCCAUCGGUCAUCCUUCUCGUAAGGCACGACCGGAUUGGUUUUUAAUUGUUU